rfam:Gorilla gorilla gorilla genomic chromosome, chr8, whole genome shotgun sequence
AAGACUGUACUUUCAGGGAUCAUUUCUGUUGUUUGCUACUAGAGAAGCUUCUCUGAAUGUGUACAGCAUGUGGACAUGUGUGCACACAUG